UGGCAGAUGCGGCGGGAUCGCUGGAACCGACGGGCCUGGCGGCGGUGUCGACGCAACGACAAAUGGGAAGCGGAAGGGCCGCUUCCGACUCCAUUGCUUCCUCCACCGACGGGCGCGGCAAUAUAUGGAGAGCAGGCGAAGGGUGCAUGGCGGCGGAUUGCUCGACGCCUGGAUCUGGCCCAGCCCCGGCGAAGGGUGCGUGGCAUUCAGUUCUCUUACUUCCUAUCCAUCUUGUAAGUAUGCGGCGUUUUGCUUGCUCCUCUGAAUCACUGAAUGCCAUCGUUGCUUGCUUUUUUU
rnacentral:lncRNA from 1 species